rnacentral:lncRNA from 1 species
CAUCAUCUCUUGUUCACUAGAUGCCUCUUAUAUCAGCAACAGGGUCUCUGAGAUCUUACUUAUGGAUUUCCUAUGUAGUCUGAGGUGUAGUGUGUCCACUAGGCAGACCGAGCUCUUUCCCAACUGGGAAGGUAUUUGUGUCUAUCUUUGAGCCUUUCUUGACUUUCACUAUCUUCAGACCAGUACACAAUCUCCUUGCAUAGAAAACAGAAGUUACAUAGGAAUUGAGCAGUUCUUCUUUUAUCAUCUCAUACCUCAUAUCCCUACUUCCUCACAGUCACCAGUAGAAACCCAAAUUUCCCACUUCAUUCUCAUGCAGAUGGUUGUCCCCACACUAUUCUGUCCUCCCCUGUUCUCUCUUCCUCUCCUCCUCUCCUUCCUGCCCUUUAAAGCCUUCACCAACAGCUUCUGCUGUUGGUUGUAGCCUCUGUGGCCUCAUGCUCUUUGAACAUUUAAUCUCUUUCUUUCCUCGUACCCUGAAAAUACCAUUUCUCCUAAAGCCCCCAAACUGAUUUUUUUUUCCUCCUACAUAUCACAAGCUCUUGAGGUGGAGCAGACAUCUUCUUUGCUUCUUAUUGCUACCCUAGACUAUUUGUUUUCUUCCAUUAACUCCUUUGAAAUUCUAAUUCCUAGUUAUAUGGCUUAAUAAAAAAAAAUUGAAAUUUAUUUUUUAAAAAACAAAGCGCAUGGAGCUUGCUGGUUGAAUUCCAAACAUUAUCAUCAUUUAUUCUCCCAUACACUUACUUGCCUUUUCUUUCUACUCUUCUGUCACAUCUCUCCAUCUCAGCCAUAUCUCAUCUCAUUCAUCUUUAUUUUCUGCUUUCCCUUAUGCAGAUUUUAUUCUCAAGCUGUCUGUCCUUCCUGGAUGGUAGCAAAGAUGGCCACCAUCAGCAUUUCAGGCUUGUUGAAAAGAGGUGCUCUUUCUCAGUGAAAGUUGAAAGAUUUCCAGAGCUCAUUCUCCUUGGGCUACCUUAUAGCAGAUGCCCACUGAAGGAGUAGGACAGAGGAGGCCUCCAAAAAAGUCCAGGUAUCGUGCUAUGAGCAUUCAAGGAAAGCCUGGACCAAUCAGGCAGGCCAAAACAAGUGGGGCUCUUGCCUGCCAGCCCUUACCUACAUAUAAUGACAUUUAUAUGUGUAAUUAAUCAAAAAAAUCAUAGUGAAUUGAUAAAUUUGUAUCUUCCAAUGACCUUGCUACCCUAAGA